UAGGGAUUAGUUAAAAUCAUAACAAAGAUCUGUCAGUUCUUUAUUAUAAGUGAAAUUCUUAUAUCUCUAUAA
rnacentral:tRNA from 1 species